rnacentral:tRNA from 1 species
GGAGAGGUGGCGAGUGGGUCUAAUCAGGGCUCUCUUGAGGCCCAUAUGCGACAAGCGUAUCGUAGGUUCGAAUCCUACCCUCUCCGCCA